AACGAACGCUGGCGGCAUGCCUAACACAUGCAAGUCGAACGAGAUCUUCGGGUCUAGUGGCGCACGGGCGCGUAACGCGUGGGAAUCUGCCCUUUGGUUCGGAAUAACAGUUGGAAACGACUGCUAAUACCGGAUGAUGACGAAAGUCCAAAGAUUUAUCGCCAGAGGAUGAGCCCGCGUAGGAGUAGCUAGUUGGUGUGGUAAAGGCGCACCAAGGCGACGAUCCUUAGCUGGUCUGAGAGGAUGAUCAGCCACACUGGGACUGAGACACGGCCCAGAAUCCUACGGGAGGGAGCAGUGGGGAAUAUUGGACAAUGGGCGAAAGCCUGAUCCAGCAAUGCCGCGUGAGUGAUGAAGGCCUUAGGGUUGUAAAGCUCUUUUACCCGGGAUGAUAAUGACAGUACCGGGAGAAUAAGCUCCGGCUAACUCCGUGCCAGCCGCCGCCGUAA
rnacentral:rRNA from 1 species